GGAAGGAAGCGACGCUGCUCGCGGACGGUCUCCACGUUGGUCGGCAACAAUGGCGAUGACGUUGGCGAUGGUGCGACGGUGCGAUGUCGAAUUAAUUUUGUUUCCUUAUUUUACCAGGAGAUCAGCGUGGUGUGAUGACGAAUUAAUGUUGUUUCCUUAUUUACCUGGAGUACAGCGUGAUUGUAGGGGGUGGAUGGGGGGUGCUGGAGGUGGAGCACGGUCAGUCAAGGGUAUUUCCUAAGUCCACACCGUACAGGCAGCAAAUGAAUGAUGGCUGUUAGAUUUAGAUGUGCGGGUAUAAUUGUGUGGUGUUGAUUGUUCCGUGCGUUUUGUGGGACAAGUUGCCGGGUGUACUUAGCGAAGUUCUUGUUUGCUUGUUUAUUAGUAGUAGAGAAGAUGGAUGGAUGGAUGGCCGGAUGGAUGGCCGGAUGGAUGGCCGGAUGGAUGGAUAGACUAUAUUGACUAGAUAGACCGAUAGACAGAUAGAGAGACUACAUAGACUAAAUAGAUAGAUUAAUCCCCUCAAAAAAAAAGAUAGAUUAACUGUGUGACUCAUCGGUUUUGCAAAAUUAAGUUUUGCCACAAUAGUUUUU
rnacentral:lncRNA from 1 species